UCUAGGUGAAAAGGGACAAACAGCUAG
rnacentral:piRNA from 1 species